CCUACGAGCGGCAGCAGUGAGGAAUAUUGGUCAAUGGUCGGGAGACUGAACCAGCCAAGCCGCGUGAGGGAUGAAGGUACAGAGUAUCGUAAACCUCUUUUGUCAGGGAACAAAUGCGGGGACGUGUCCCCGGAUGAGUGUACCUGAAGAAAAAGCAUCGGCUAACUCCGUACCAGCAGCCGCGGUAAUACGGAUGAGGCGAGCGUUAUACGGAUUUAUGUGGUGUAAAGGGUGCGCAGGCGUUCUGUUAAGUCAGCGGUCAAAGCCCGGGGCUCAACCCCGGCCCGCCGUUGAAACUGGCAGUCUAGAGUUGGGGAGAAGUAUGCGGAAUGCGCGGUGUAGCAGUGAAAUGCAUAGAUAUCGCGCAGAACUCCGAUUGAGAAGGCAGCAUGCCGGCUCCAAACUGACGCUGAGGCACGAAAGCGUGGGUAUCGAACAGGAUUAGAUACUCGAGUAGUC
rnacentral:rRNA from 1 species